GAUAAUCAUUUUGUUUGUUUAGACAAACAAGUUAAGUCCGGGCAGACAACAGAUGUCUACGCGGAUCAAAGGACGUGCGUGGCACCGGUAAGGUAAUGGUGAACACCCUUUUUUUGGAUUGCCCUCUUUGUAAUAAUAGGACACUGAAAAUCGAAGUUUACCAUGAAAUAUCUGACAUUAUCUAUCGUUGCAUCACCAGCAGGGAGUUUAGCAAGAAAAAGACAACGGUUGUCAUUUUAAUCUAAUGAAAUUAGAACGUAAUGAAAUUAAUGUAACAGACGACAGAAAUGUAGCUGUUAAUUUGAGUGUCAAGCAUUUGCCGCAUGGUGAGAUUAAUCAGAAACGGUCCCCGGCUAACUUGGUCGUGCUGUCAGUCCAACGGCAACUCUCACGGCAAAGCUAACAUGUUCAGGCUAAUGCAAUGUGGCAAACUUGGGAGCCAAGUUUAGUAACACAGGCUAACCUACGCCAGUCGGGGUUACCUUCAAAACCGGACAGGAGAUAAGGCUUGCUUGGAACAGCGCCUACAACUGGCAGGACCUACGAUUAUCAAGCUGUUUGCCCUUAUGCCUGUAAACAAUGCCUGUAAUAUUCAUGUGUAACAUUUAAAAAUAUAUAUGUUUUAAUUUUAUUUGUAUAACAAUCAGAAUAAAUACACAAAUACAGUAUAUUAGUCUAUAAGGUAUGUGUUUUCUGUUUGCACAUUGAAAUCUACCUUGAGUAAUACCAUCAGGCAUAUUUCCGAACAGCAGCAACCGUGUGUUGUCUUUGUUUUGGCUCCCGUUUGGCUCGCUUUUUCUGUUUAGUUCAUCUACACUACGAGGGCUGUAACUACUACGAAGCCAGAUUAGUGGGUUAGCGAGCAAUGUUGACCCUAAAGCGAGAGUUUUCCAUAUUACGAAGAGACUCUCUUUUAACCUCGCUAGAUCACCAUGUACAUUUAUGCUGCAUGCAUAACCUGGUAUAGAUAGACUAUAAAGUCCAGUUCAUGUUCCAACAAUAUCAGCAAUUCAGACAAUCAUAGGAAGAAUACUGUUGUGUGUCGUUAUUUUAAAUAUAAAUCCAUUAUUUUAUUCCUCUUUUCCUUUCCUCCCAUUUAGUUGUGUGUACAAAGUAUCAUAGUAUUUAUUUGAAAUGGGUUCUCUUGCCAUUGGCACACACUGACUCUAAAAUAAACGUAUAAAUUGUCUGAUGGCAUUUGUACAAUACCCUGUAUAUCAAUAUGAAGAUUACUUGUAUUUGCAGUAUCAUCAUUCAAACCAUUAUUUCACCACUUUGGAAUCAUUCAUUGGGUGACAGUUUCCAACGAUUGCAAUUUUUGAGUAUAUUGUGUUUAAAUCUCUUUUAUAUGUGAGAGCCUAUGGAAUAGUUAGAACCUGUGUAUGCCAUAUAUAAUGUCCAGUUAAUGACACUAUACUGAAGGUUGCUCUUCAAAUAUCCUCCUUAGCAUUUCUGCACUCCGGAAUGUCUUGAAAUAAUUGAUUGACAGUUAAUUUUAAUUGAGCUUUUUAUUUGAAUAUUUGGUUUCCCCAUAAUAAUAAACUGAAUCUUUUUGGAA